rnacentral:lncRNA from 1 species
AGCUUGCAGAAACAUGAGUAGCCUCCUUCGGUACUGAGAUAACCCACGUUCUGAAGAUUUCUCUCAGAAUUUUACAUACUAUCUCAUAUCUCUAACUUUGGCAUUCCUUCCAGAUGACAAAUCCCCAAACCUUGGCCACUUUCCUAGCCUGUGUUCUCCUUGCCUGAGGCAUCACCUGUCUUUGAGAUAAAACUUCUCCCCUCAUACACCGACUCCUUUCAGAAAUGUUAUUCUCCUAAAAAUAUCCCUUCAUUUCCAGAACUGUGGUCCAUCCAGGGUAUGUCUGUUCCAGGACCAAGGGAGAAGUCAGUAUUUGCAGCCUCUGCCUCGUGGGAUAUUCCCUGCCGUAAAACGAGGUGCAAAGGCCAAGGGCUGAGUCCUAGGCCUGGAUCUGCAGACCUGGUGGAACCUUCCUGGCCUCCGCAGUAAACCGGGAUGGAUGGCAAGUCUCAGAGCGGCCGCUCUCACGAGUUCCCUCCGGGAAAGGCGCCCCGUGCAGAAUGGAGCCCUGCAGCAGGAGAAGUGACCGCUGCUCAGGUGGGGGUUUUGGCUGUGCGGGUUCCGAGCCCAGACUGAGCGAAGGGACAGCGAGUGGUGCAAGUUGAACCGAGAGGAAAGUCCUGCAACCGGGGACGGAGGGAACGUCAAGUAGGAGGAAACCAGGCCCGAGCCUCCGACUCUGGGUCUGAGGCUGUUCCUCGGUGCGCUGCAGUUCCGGAGACGCCCAGAAGGAGGUGCUGUUCCUGCAUUCUUCCUGCUCCCGCCCAGCUCUCCAGGAAGCUACAGGUGAUAGGAUUUAUCAUUUAGAUUUCAGUGUACAGAUUUUUUUAAUGUACAUUUUACGUUACUUUUUAAAAUAGUUUUAAAUUUUAUUUGAGACAGAUGGAGUGAGCACGAGCAGGGGGAGGGGCAGAGGGAGAGAGAGAAGCAGACUCCCCGGUGAGUGGGGAGCCGAAUCUGGGGCUCCAUCCCAGGACCCGGAGAUCAUGACCUGAGCUGAAAGCAGAUGCUCAACAGAAUGAGCCACCCAAACACCCCUGUUUUAUUUGAUUUUUAAAGUAAUCUGCGCCCUCAGCAUGGGGGGCAAGAGUCUCACACUCUACCGCCUGCACCAGCCAGGCACCCCUCAUUUGACAGUUUUGUGAGCGCUUCCCCAUUUUAUCCUUACAACAACCAGGGAAUGUUGGGGGGCAAGUCCUAUCAUCCCCGUUUUACAGAAAGAAAAUUGAGAGGCAGCCAGUUUAAGUGACUUACUCCACAUCUGCAGUUUUUUUUGGACUGCCUACCCAGUGCUCUCUCCGCUCUGCUGCCUAGAAUAAAGCAGGCUUAUCAGGUACA